GGGGGCGAGAUUUAAGUUGGCAAGACUAAGUAUGUAGAACGCUUUGUAGAGGACUUUCGGACGGGGGUUCGAUUCCCCCCGCCUCCACCA
rnacentral:tRNA from 1 species